GACGAACGCUGGCGGCGUGCUUAACACAUGCAAGUCGAACGGUGAAGGGGAGCUUGCUCUCCGGAUCAGUGGCGAACGGGUGAGUAACACGUGGGCAACCUGCCCCAGACUUCGGGAUAACGCUUCGAACGAGGUGCUAAUACCGGAUACGAACUCCUGUGGCAUCCUUGGGGGUGGAAAGUUUUUCGGUCUGGGAUGGGCCCGCGGCCUAUCAGCUUGUUGGUGAGGUAACGGCUCACCAAGGCGACGACGGGUAGCCGGCCUGAGAGGGCGACCGGCCACACUGGGACUGAGACACGGCCCAGACUCCUACGGGAGGCAGCAGUGGGGAAUAUUGCGCAAUGGGCGAAAGCCUGACGCAGCGACGCCGCGUGAGGGAUGACGGCCUUCGGGUUGUAAACCUCUUUCAGCAGGGAAGAAGCGAAAGUGACGGUACCUGCAGAAGAAGCACCGGCUAACUACGUGCCAGCAGCCGCCGUAAAAC
rnacentral:rRNA from 1 species